CCUGAGACUAGAGUCACAUCCUGACACAGUUCUUGUCCUGAUAUGCUGGAGUUUUCAGGGCAAUCUGCUGGUCCUUUUUUUAAGAUUUCAUUUAUGUAUUUGAGAGAAAGACAGAGAGAGCA
rnacentral:snoRNA from 1 species